UGUUGCUCUGAACCCAAAUUUUAGGAAUUGAUUAAUUUCUUGACAUCGUGUAUUUUUUUCGAAUACAUUACUAUGAAAGGAGGACUUUGGAAGUGAAUAGUUUGUUUACUGGUGGCGGGCGCCAAUGUGAGUUCUAAGUUAAUUCACGUUCAAUGAGUGUGCUUGUAUUGAUUAGGUAAGAAGUUAUUCGACAGUACAAUCAUAGUAUUACUUGAUAUUUAGAAGUACAACUAAACAAACAAUGGCGAAAGCUACAACAUGACACAAGCGUAAUUAAGAGUUUAACAUGUGUUUAAUGAAGUCCAAGUGAUGGUUGUAUAUCUUGUUUGGGAGGAAGGUCAAGUGGUGGUGUUGAAAAAAGGCUUGAGUAAUUUUCCAUUGAACUCAAAUGAGGUGGAUUCUUCGAAUUCGAGAUGGGAUAUAGUAAAUUUGGCUUGUUCUCUGUUAAAUAAUUCUAUGGGAAAUGGGAAGAGCUCUAUAAUGUAGAUAAUCAGAUUGGUGCACUUAGUGUGAAGAUCUGGAAGAACCUCUACCCUUUCAAAGUUGAACUCUUUAUUUGGCAAGCAAUGCAAAAUGGAAUAGCAACUGGAUGUGAAUUGAUCAAAAGGAAUAUUGCUCUGAAUGGAAAUGAAUUAGCAGGUAUGUCUUCUUUUUGUAUGCAAAUGCUUGAAACCCCUGUUCACCUUAUAAUGCAGUGUAGAGUACCAUGGUUCAUUUGGUCUAAAAUCAUGCAAUGGUGGGGCUUUGUAUAGUUUUGUCUUGCAAGUUCAUAUGACUUAAUGUGUUGGUGGUUUUCCAAUAAAUUCAAGAUAUUUGAGAAAGGGUGCUUGGAGAUUUGUUUCUUUGCUGUCUUAUGGUCUAUCUGGUUGGAAAGAAACCAUUUCAUUUUCGGGGGGGGGGGGGGGCAGAAUCUGGAUGUAGCUGAAGUGGUGGAGAAUAUUAAAACUAAGGUUGCUUUGAGCGCUAAAGCUGGUUUUGAUCUAAGAAAGUAAUCCAUUGAGGAUUUUAUAGGUAAUAUCAAUGGAAAAAGGAAACUUAAGAUGGCCAAAGUCUCUCUUUGUUGAACAUUGUCAGUUAUCUUCUUUUUUAGGACCUCUAGUUCGAGAGAUUGUACCAUAUACACUUAAAAGAUUGGAGAUACCUUCCUAGUGGGAUGGCAGAAUUCUUAUGGCAGUCAAUUAAGGUAUAGCAUAAUGCUAAAAUUUAAAUCUUGUGGCAGUGUGAAUGAUAGAAAUUCACUUGUGUUAGAAAUAACAUUGCAGGUAAGAUUCAAGUUAGAUAAAGAAUGGGAGAGGGACCAGGUCUUUAAGCAAAUGGGUGGACUCUAGAGAGCUUCCAAGUCAAGAUUAGUGAGCGACGUAAAAAAUGCUGCAAAUGAGGAAGAAAGGUUGCAACUCCAGCCCAAUAACAUCAAAUUGGUCCAUGAUUGGAAGGAUUUUGUGAAGGAAAAGACCAGUCAAUAGUUUAAGAAAGAAAAAUGUGCGAAUCCCUCUUCCAUAACAAGAGUUAAAGUUUGGACUCGGGGACAUACCAAGAAAUAUGGUACCCCUAUCAACUCAAAAGUUGCUAAAACAAUUGUGAGAACGAUCUUAUUUUCCUUUAGUCCUUGGUAUUAAUAUUUGCAAUCACAUUGGUAAUGCUCAAUGACUUUUUAUUGUACCAUUUGUAGAAUGAAUUUGAAAAUGUUCAACAGGAUACACCAAAUUCAUCUUCAACAAAUCUAAAAGAAGAUGCUCUUUCAAAAGUACUUGGUCCUGACAAGCGUGGUCAUCUGAGAUGUUUUGGAAAGGGAGUCACACUUUUGAAAUUAGCUAUAUUUUCGCAAGUUAAUAGUGCUACGACGCAACUUGAGAGUUAAAACUUGAGAGGCAAUAUAUAUUUUCCUCAUUGCUAGAAUUAAAACUUGAGAGUUUCAUUUUGGAAUGAUGGUCAACCGUGGGUUAGAAUGAAAACUUAAGAAUCAAUGGUCCAUACUGAUUUUGUUGAAUACCAAAACUUGAGAGUUAUGGCCAGUUCUGCUUCUAAAAUAUACCCAGGUUUGCUUUGGUUCUGGACACUUGAAUAAUGGACACAGUUGCUGCAUUUUGCUUAACACACUUGGUGCAUACUCAGUCCAGGUUAUGAAGCACAAAAAUCAGCACUUUGGUUCAACAAAAACAUGCAUUUUUUGUUCAAAUCUGGGCUUGAAAUCUGCAGUUUACAGUGCACUUUGGUUGAUGCAGUUGCUGCAUUUUACUUGACACACUAGCUGCAUACUCAAUCCAUGUUAGGACGCACAAAAACCAGCACUUUGGUUCAACAAAAACAUUUAUUUUUUGUUCAAAUCUGGGCUUGAAAUUUGCAGUUUACAGUUCACUUUGGUUGACACAGUUGCUGCAUUUUGGUUGACACAUUAGCUGCAUACUCAGUCCAUGUUAUGAAGCACAAAAACCAGCACUUUGGUUCAACAAAAACAUUUAUUUUUGGUUCAAAUCUGGGCUUGAAAUCUGUAGUUUUCAGUGCACUAAAAGUGCACUUUGACAAACACAGUAAUAUCUAAGCCACGAAAACAAAGGUAAAACACAGUUAAGCUACUAAUUUGGCAAACAUAACCAUGUUCAAAGAAUACUUCACAUACAUCAUCUAAUACAGUAGGGAGAAUCUGGUCUUCUCAAUCGAGGUGCUUCUAUUGAUUGCAAGUUUUGAUUCCCAAUUACCUUUCUUUCCUUUGUUCUUUCAGUGUCUUUCUCUACCAUAUAUUUUGCUGGUUCUUGCUAGUUCAUUAAACACUACAACAAAUUAUACUUUUGAUAGCUUUGAGUUAUGAGUGGUUUAGUGGAGAUUCCUAUAAAUGCUCUACUAUUAUUAUACCCCAGCUAUUAUCCCUUUUCUUUGUUUUGUCAUAAGUUCAGCCACUUUCCAUUUUUCUGCUAAACCUUAAUUGAUAAGAAAAUUCCUUGAUAAAUUGGUAGUUCAAAUGCAACUUAGAGCGUAUUGGUGUAAUGUGGAUCUGAACAUUGAUGAUAGUAAAUGAUUGUAUCCCAAUAGGUUAAUGUGAACUUCUCUCACCCACUGUGUGUAUGUCGACAUGCGCACAAAACUCUAACCCAUUUGGUUAAUGGGGAUGAUUAGUGAUACUAGUGUCAUUUAUCUUUUGCAGGAGCACUAUGCUCAUUGUCUGCCACCAUUGAUCAAUAAUGUAUGUGUUUGAAUAACUAAGUUGCUCGGCUGGUAGUUAAAUGCGUGUGGUUGAAGUUCCAGCUUUUUACAUAGUUUUCUCACAUGAAUAGUUAUGUUCCACAAUCACGCACGGAUUGGUUUAUGUCGUUCACCAAUUUGUCAUGGUAUGGCUGCUUCUGAGAUUGUUCUUGGUUCUUGCUGACAAUUAUCCAUCAUAUUUUUCUUUUUCUAACUGCAAACAUUAUGUUGUUUUAAAGUUGUUUUUCUCGUUAAUAAUUUUUACUAUAUCUAUUGGGUUACUUUGAAUAGUUCUAUAU